UACAGAGGGUGCGAGCGUUAAUCGGAAUUACUGGGCGUAAAGCGCACGUAGGCGGUUCGUCGCGUCGGCUGGUGAAAACCCGGAGCUCAACUCCGGGCCUGCAGUCCGAUACGGGCGGACUGGAGUGUUGCAGGGGAGAACUGGAAUUCCUGGUGGUAGCGGUGAAAUGCGCAGGAUAAUCAGGAGGAACACCGGUGGCGAAAGGCGGGUCCUCGUGGGCCGAUACUGACGCUG
rnacentral:rRNA from 1 species